rnacentral:rRNA from 1 species
CAGGCCUAACACAUGCAAGUCGAACGGAGAAUUUUAUUUCGGUAGAAUUCUUAGUGGCGAACGGGUGAGUAACGCGUAGGCAACCUGCCCUUUAGACGGGGACAACAUUCCGAAAGGAGUGCUAAUACCGGAUGUGAUCAUCGUGCCGCAUGGCAGGAUGAAGAAAGAUGGCCUCUACAAGUAAGCUAUCGCUAAAGGAUGGGCCUGCGUCUGAUUAGCUAGUUGGUAGUGUAACGGACUACCAAGGCGAUGAUCAGUANCCGGUCUGAGAGGAUGAACGGCCACAUUGGGACUGAGACACGGCCCAAACUCCUACGGGAGGCAGCAGUGGGGAAUCUUCCGCAAUGGACGAAAGUCUGACGGAGCAACGCCGCGUGAGUGAUGAAGGAUUUCGGUCUGU